rnacentral:rRNA from 1 species
CUCGUAGGUGGCCAACUAAGUCGGACGUGAAAUCCCUCGGCUUAACCGGGGAACUGCGUCCGAUACUGGUUGGCUUGAGUUUGGGAGAGGGAUGCGGAAUUCCAGGUGUAGCGGUGAAAUGCGUAGAUAUCUGGAGGAACACCGGUGGCGAAGGCGGCAUCCUGGACCAAUACUGACGCUGAGGAGCGAAAGCCAGGGGAAGGCAAACG